AGUGGAAGGAGGAGUUCGAGGCCAUGCUGUUUGGACGGCUGGUCUCCUUCAGGUCCUCGCUUCCUUGGCGGGAUGGAAGUUUCUAUGAGGAGAAGGUGCAGGGUGAGAGAGAGGAAUCCAGAGCCAUCUGUAGCCAAGGUCUUCGAUUGUCUCCAGCAACAUGUUUCUCUCCUCAUGGAGCUUCUCAACCUCCACUCUCAGUGCUGUGCCUCCAACUUCGUCCUCCUUUGAAAUGAGAAAGGGGAGGAGUGGUGGGAGGGGAGUAGAGAAGAAGAUGGACAAAGAGACAAAGGAAAGUAAAACGCGAGAGACAGAAGAGAAAGUAGAAGCAAAAAAAAAAAAAGUCUAAAGGCAAGGUGUUGACCAAACAUUUCCUGUGGAAUGAAGAAAAAGUAUGGAAUUAAGUAUUCAAGUUGUUUUACCUUGUAGCUGAAGCUUCUGGGAGCGUCACUCUUGUUAGAUGCAGG